AUACGGAGGGUGCAAGCGUUGUCCGGAUUUAUUGGGUUUAAAGGGUGCGUAGGCGGCCCGUUAAGUCAGUGGUGAAAGGUAUCAGCUUAACUGAUGAAGUGCCAUUGAAACUGAAGGGCUUGAGUACAGACGAGGUAGGCGGAAUUUAUGGUGUAGCGGUGAAAUGCAUAGAUACCAUAAAGAACACCGAUAGCGAAGGCAGCUUACUAGACUGAGACUGACGCUGAGGCACGAAAGCGUGGGGAGCAAACAGGAUUAGAUACCCCAGUAGUCC
rnacentral:rRNA from 1 species